rnacentral:rRNA from 1 species
CACCGGCGGCCCGAGUGGUGAUCGUGAUUAUUGGGUCUAAAGGGUCCGUAGCCGGUUUGGUCAGUCCUCCGGGAAAUCUGAUAGCUCAACUAUUAGGCUAUCGGGGGAUACUACCAGACUUGGAACCGGGAGAGGUAAGAGGUACUACAGGGGUAGGAGUGAAAUCUUGUAAUCCCUGUGGGACCACCUGUGGCGAAGGCGUCUUACCAGAACGGGUUCGACGGUGAGGGACGAAAGCUGGGGGCACGAACCGGAUUAGAUACCCGGGUAGUCCCAGCCGUAAACGAUGCUCGCUAGGUGUCAGGCAUGGCGCGACCGUGUCUGGUGCCGCAGGGAAGCCGUGAAGCGAGCCACCUGGGAAGUACGGCCGCAAGGCUGAAACUUAAAGGAAUUGGCGGGGGAGCACAACAACGGGUGGAGCCUGCGGUUUAAUUGGACUCAACGCCGGACAACUCACCGGGGGCGACAGCAAUAUGUAGGCCAAGCUGAAGACUUUGCCUGAAUCGCU